CAAGGAUUUAGAAUGGAGAGAGGACUUAAUUGUCUAAUACCUCUGUCUGUCAGCUAAAGCUAUCUCCAGCCCCAAGACUUGGCCUCUUUACCCAAUUACCAACAUGGAGAAGAUGGGGAAGCUUCCAAUGAAAGAGGCAGCCCUUGUCUACCUUGACAGAAGUGGAGGCCUCCAAAAGUUUAUGGACGACUGCAAGUACUACAAUGAUUCAAAACAAAGCUAUGCUGUCUACCGGUUCAGUAUUUUAAUAAACCCCUGUGACGUUGUCGAAUUAGAUGCCGAACUUGGCAAUCACAUCUUACACCAUCCUUUAAAAGCCGCUCAAGUUUUCCAAUCAGUCUGCUUUGUUGCUGUUAAGACUCUCUCGUUAAUUGGAAAGUUACAGACUGAAACUCAAGUAAGUUUUGAUUAAAUAAGUUUUUUAAACUGAAGUAUAAAUCUUCAAAAUAACAAAAUAUUGUUUUCCCAGGAAUGAGUUAAUAAUAAAAGAGAAUAAAUUUUACAAAGUCCAA
rnacentral:lncRNA from 1 species